rnacentral:rRNA from 1 species
CUGGGGAAUAUUGGACAAUGGGCGCAAGCCUGAUCCAGCCAUGCCGCGUGUGUGAAGAAGGCCUUCGGGUUGUAAAGCACUUUUGUCCGGAAAGAAAAGCUUCGGGUUAAUAACCCGGAGUUAUGACGGUACCGGAAGAAUAAGCACCGGCUAACUUCGUGCCAGCAGCCGCGGUAAUACGAAGGGUGCAAGCGUUACUCGGAAUUACUGGGCGUAAAGCGUGCGUAGGUGGUUUGUUAAGUCUGAUGUGAAAGCCCUGGGCUCAACCUGGGAACUGCAUUGGAAACUGGCUGACUAGAGUGCGGUAGAGGGGUGUGGAAUUCCCGGUGUAGCAGUGAAAUGCGUAGAUAUCGGGAGGAACAUCUGUGGCGAAGGCGACACCCUGGACCAGCACUGACACUGAGGCACGAAAGCGUGGGGAGCAAACAGGAUUAGAUACCCUGGUAGUCCACGCCCUAAACGAUGCGAACUGGAUGUUGGGGGCAACUUGGCCCUCAGUAUCGAAGCUAACGCGUUAAGUUCGCCGCCUGGGAAAGUACGGUCGCAAGACUGAAACUCAAAGGAAUUGAC